CUGAUCCAGCAAUGCCGCGUGUGUGAAGAAGGCCUUCGGGUUGUAAAGCACUUUUAUCAGGAGCGAAAUACUGCCGGCUAAUACCCGGCGGGGCUGACGGUACCUGAGGAAUAAGCACCGGCUAACUUCGUGCCAGCAGCCGCGGUAAUACGAAGGGUGCAAGCGUUAAUCGGAAUUACUGGGCGUAAAGCGUGCGUAGGCGGUUCUUUAAGUCUGCUGUGAAAUCCCCGGGCUCAACCUGGGAAUGGCAGUGGAUACUGGAGAGCUAGAGUGUGAUAGAGGAUGGUGGAAUUCCCGGUGUAGCGGUGAAAUGCGUAGAGAUCGGGAGGAACAUCAGUGGCGAAGGCGGCCAUCUGGAUCAACACUGACGCUGAGGCACGAAAGCGUGGGGAGCAAACAGGAUUAGAUACCCUGGUAGUCCACGCCCUAAACGAUGCGAACUGGAUGUUGGUCUCAACUCGGAGAUCAGUGUCGAAGCUAACGCGUUAAGUUCGCCGCCUGGGGAGUACGGUCGCAAGACUGAAACUCAAAGGAAUUGACGGGGGCCCGCACAAGCGGUGGAGUAUGUGGUUUAAUUCGAUGCAACGCGAAGAACCUUACCUGGCCUUGACAUGUCUGGAAUCCUGCAGA
rnacentral:rRNA from 1 species